UUAAGAGAUUAAAGUGCCAGUGUUUAGACAUUGCGCUUCUGCGUGACCUUGUGAACUCGUCUCAAAAUUUCCAUGUUAUGACUCUUCGAACACCCCUCCAGAUCCCUGGGCUUAUUUGUUCAGGCUUACCCAAGCAGGAAGUGACAUCAACGGGUCCAAACUAAAAAUAUGUCGCAGGACGAGCUGUCUAGGUUGUCCAGGAUAUGUCCAGUGUAUGUAAAGGGAGUGAUGCCUCGCACCUCGCCCCACAAAGUGAUGCUCUCUGAUGGGACACAGAAGAGCGCCACGCAGACAGACAGACGCACGCGAGGUUGAGCUCUAUAUCAUGGCUGUCUGCUGAAAAGGAUGCUGUCUGUUAUCAAUGUAUGACUGAGAUCCUAUGGCCAUGGCAAUAAUCGGCAAGCAUAAGUUCUGGUGAUUCUUGGAAUCCUGCACAGUGAAGCCGUCAAGCCAUUAGUGAGUCCCAGUACUGAUAAUGAAGCCACGGAGGUGGUCUGAGUCAGUGUGGCACAGGAGCUGGAGCACAGGAGGAAGAUCUGAGUGUUAUGAUGGUCCUCAGGGGGCACCUGGCUCCCCUCCCUGCCAUCUCUGGCUAAAUCGAUCUCUGAGGCCAUCUCAGUGCAAAGACCAGGGGUCAGCUUCAAAGGCCUCCUGCCCGCCUCCUGCCACCUGGUGUUCUAUAUCGGACGAAGGGUACAUCUUCUUUCCAGUCCCUCCACCCUCCGUUACCCUUCUGCUAACAGGUUAAGGACAUGGAGCUGGUACAGCUCCUCCCUGUGAUCUCCUGCUGCCUCCUCCCUAGCUGCCCACAUGCAGAGAUUGGGUGAGAGAUCAGUCCCACACAAACACAUCCCAAUCACACAACCAUUUGAUGUGAAAAUCUUCUUUUGAUUUAAUUAUAGCCUGAGAAUGCAUAUCUCUCUACAAUCAAGAGAUUUAACAAAUUUUGGCCAAGGUUUAUAUUUUUAUUUGCUGGCAAGUGUUGAUUUUAUUAUUAUUAUUAUUAUUAUUACAUAAGUACAUCCAUAAUUCAGACAUUCCUGAAAUCAGACAAUGAUUAAAUAAUCACAUCAAUACCAAAAAUUUAUUAUUAUUUUUAUUAUUAUUAUUUAUUACAUGGAUUUUAAUCACAUUCUGAUAUAUGUGUACAUUUUUCUCAUGCUAUCACAUAUCAAGUUCAGGAAGGUAAUGCCCUGUUUACAAUGGAGCAAUAAAUUAAGUACACUUCUUGGCUCUCACUUGGAACAUGUUUCAUUAUUAACUGAUCAAGAGAUCUGCUAUGGUAUGAAUAACUCUUUUUUUCCUUGUUGGUCUCAUAACAAAUAACAGAUACUGGACACAUUUUUUAUCUUCACCGGGGCUAUCCUACAGUUAGCUCCAAGAAUACAUAUGAAUCAAUCGAGAUUCUUUUUUAUGUCUUUAUCAAGCCCGGCCAUUUUUCCUUCCAAUACAUUAGCAGAUCUCAGUAUGUCGGCUACUCGUGUGAACAGGGAUGAGAAGGAGAAAGAGGGAGAGGAAAUAAAGGUCUGAUGAGUUUGGCAGAGGGAGGAUGGAGGCUGAGACAGAUGGCAUGAAGUCUGCAGCACUCUGGCGUGGCUUGCCUGGUGCUAAAAUCCUCUUCUCUCACAUUCCAACAAAUCCUACCAGGAGGCCGGGGAGUCUGUCACACCACUCCAAGGAUCCACACAACCCCCCUCUCCCCCCUCCCCCACCCACCAAUUCCCCAUCCCAACAGUCUCUGACCACUCUGUAUUACAUUUUUUUCUAUUUUAUCCUCAUGAAAGUAUACAUUUACAUAUGAGCAAGUAUAGAGUUGGAUCAUAUGUACCUUUAUAGAGGUGAUAAGAUAAGCUGGACCAGGGUGUGCAAAUAUGAAGAAAGGCCAUGUGACUCCUCUUAAGAAAAGGUUCAUUUUGGGAGGGGGAGAACAUCAGAAAAAGGUGGUCUUCGCUGUUAAAAAUCAAAUUCUGUAAACACUGGGCCAAAUCAUGAGCGCAAGACUGAGCGAUCUAUUUAUAUUUGAGGACGAAUACAUAAGAAGCUUUUUGAUUAGUCUCACUACAGCUUGUGUCAGCCCAUGGUUUUUCACAGAAAAAGUAUAACCCAAUCUCAGUCCAAACAUGCACUGCAUCGGCAGCCUCAAUCCUGCAGAAUUUAGUUCUCUCCCUUAUCCAACACAUCUGAUUCAAAUUAAAUGACUCUUCUCAACAGCUUGUUGUCAAGUUCUGCCCAAGAGUGUUGACCCACCAAUCUGAUUCAGGUGUGCUACAACAGGAAACAUCCAAAACAUGCAGCACAGUGGCCCUUGAGGACUGACUUUUGGACACCCCUAUGGUUUAAAGCUUCUGUGGGUCCUUAAAUCCAAAGUGGACAGUAAGUGUGACUGCGAUUACACACAGAGCACAAAAUCACAACUUGAUCAUAGACUCCACUCAACAACUUCAUCUGAUACUGUACAGCUGGAUUUCCUUUGAAUAUCUGAAGUGUGCUUUCUUUUAGCGUCUCAAAGUGGCCCAUCUCUUAAGAACAAUCUAAUUUAUUUUACACUGCUUUCUCCUCAUGUCUCUUUCUUGCUAUCGUUCUGCCUGCCUUCUGUUUGUUCUAAUGAAUGACUUCUGAGAUAAAGUGCUGCUGUGAGGGGGUCACAGAGGGCUUCAGAAUUACAUUACUGUUAAUGAUAAUAAAGAGAACAGUCUGUGCUAAAUGUCUUGGAUGUUUUCCUUUUUCUCUCCAUAUGGACCAAAUGUUUUAUCUGCUGUUUCGAGUAUUGUCAUGUUUGAAAGUAUGCAAUUAAAAUGCACACUAAGUAUUGUUUUGUAUUUGGAUGCAAGCGUUGUCUAUUGACAAAAACAGAGCGCUCUGAUAAAAGGUAUACAGCUGUGCACCAUCUGGGUUACAAAGUACAUCACAAUGCAUAACAUCAGGCGUCUUAGUGACAUGGUGGAGCACAAGAAAAUAUGUUCCCUACGGGGACAUUUUAAGUGCACAAUGGAUGCUAAAACACUUAAACUGCAAACACAACUUCUAACGAUUGACAAAGGGUUCUGCAGGUGUAAGGCUUUGUUUAUAGGACUUUAACUUUUUACAAACAAAGGUUAUCUUCUCAGCUUUUGGUCCAACUGUAUGAAACAUAACUUAAAGGAACGUGGAGCUCAUUUUUAAAACAGAGCUGUCUAAACAUGGGUGGUAACUUUUCCUGUGUUUAAACCACAUUUCAAGUUCAACAGCACUUCUAAUAAGCACUACUUUCUGUAUCUCAGCAUAACUGCUGUGGUAAAACUAAUUGAAAAAAACUUCAGAAAAAAAGUUUUGAAGCAAAAACUAUCAACUUCAGUUUUAUCUUGGUUUUCAACAGUGGUGCAGGUCAUCAUAUCAUCAUAUGCUGGGGAUGUUUACAUGGAUGUGACAUUCACAAGUGGAUCAUUUGUGACUUUCCCUCCCACUGCCACAGGGACUGAGUUGCUGGCUGUCCUUCCUACAUGGCAGGGCAGCGUGGUGUCCCCAGGCUCCUUGGCUCUGCAGCUGUCAUCCACGGAUGGGAAAGUGGCAGGGUUGAUGGCUCCGCCGCGUGGCUUCUGGCAGAAUCCCUGCAAUUCUGGCCUGGUGAAAGGGCAGGGACAGGGAGCCCAGUCUCUCAGUGCAUUGAUCAAGUGCCAGUUCUCCAUUAGCCACCGUCAGAGCCAAAGGUCAGCUAAGGCCAACGGAUGGGUCCUGCAUGCGCAGCCUAUGGAGUGACUCAUUCUCGCAUCCGGAGAGCAAGUCCUUGCCACUUUGGUCUGUGCUGUGGCUGCAUGAGGAUGACCACUCCUCUCAGAAUAGCUGACCCCUUCGAGAUGAGUUGAUGCAUCCCACUCAGUCACACCCCCCACCCCCCCGC